rnacentral:rRNA from 1 species
AACGUAGGGUGCAAGCGUUAUCCGGAUUUACUGGGCGUAAAGGGUUGCGUAGGCGGUAAUUUAAGUCAAAACUCAAAUCUUCCAGCCCAACUGGGAAUCGGGUUUUGAAACUAAAUUACUUGAGUCUUGGAGAGGUAGCCGGAACUUGCAGUGGAGCGGUGAAAUGCGUUGAUAUUGCAAGGAACACCGAUGGCGUAGGCAGGCUACUGGUCACGUACUGACGCUGAUGCACGAAAGCUAGGGGAGCGAA